CGUUAGCUCAGUUGGUAGAGCAGUUGGCUUUUAACCAAUUGGUCGUAGGUUCGAAUCCUACACGGC
rnacentral:tRNA from 1 species